UACGUAGGGGGCGAGCGUUGUCCGGAAUCAUUGGGCGUAAAGCGCGUGUAGGCGGCUCGAUAAGUCUGCUGUAAAAGUCCAGGGCUCAACCCUGGAAAGCCGGUGGAAACUGUCGAGCUAGAGUCCGGAAGAGGCGAGUGGAAUUCCUGGUGUAGCGGUGAAAUGCGCAGAUAUCAGGAGGAACACCAAUGGCGAAGGCGGCUCUCUGGGACGGUACUGACGCUGAGACGCGAAAGCGUGGGGAGCGAACAGG
rnacentral:rRNA from 1 species